UCCUGAUCGAUGAUGCCUUUCAGAUAAAAAACUGCGUUAUCUUUCUGAAAUUGCCUUAAUAAACUGGCUUGAUGCCUUCCUCUGACUAUCUGAGAUCAGGA